rnacentral:rRNA from 1 species
GACGUAGGGCGCGAGCGUUGUCCGGAUUUAUUGGGCGUAAAGAGCUCGUAGGCGGCUUGUCGCGUCGGCUGUGAAAACCCGUGGCUCAACUGUGGGCGGGCAGCUGAUACGGGCAGGCUGGAGUUCGGUAGGGGAGACUGGAAUUCCUGGUGUAGCGGUGAAAUGCGCAGAUAUCAGGAGGAACACCGGUGGCGAAGGCAGUGUCCUGGCUGGUGACUGACGCUGAGGUGCGAAAGCUAGGGGAGCGAACGGG